CCCUUAGAUGUUCUGGGCCGCACGCGCGCUACACUGAUGCAUGCAACGAGUUCUAUCCUUGGCCGGAAGGCCUGGGUAAUCUGUGAACGUGCAUCGUGAUAGGGAUAGAUUAUUGCAAUUAUUAAUCUUGAACGAGGAAUUCCUAGUAAACGCAAGUCAUCAGCUUGCAUUGAUUACGUCCCUGCCCUUUGUACACACCGCCCGUCGCACCUACCGAUCGAAGGUAAUGAUGAGCCCUCAGGAUUAUGGCCUCGUCGCGUCAGCGUCUUGGCUGCGAGAAUCUGUGCAAAUCCCUACCUUUAGAGGAAGGUGAAGUCGUAACA
rnacentral:rRNA from 1 species